rnacentral:rRNA from 1 species
CACGUAGGGCGCGAGCGUUGUCCGGAAUUAUUGGGCGUAAAGAGCUCGUAGGCGGCCUGUUGCGUCCGCUGUGAAAGCCCGGGGCUUAACCCCGGGUCGGCAGUGGAUACGGGCAGGCUAGAGGUAGGUAGGGGAGAAUGGAAUUCCCGGUGUAGCGGUGAAAUGUGUAGAGAUCGGGAGGAACACCGGUGGCGAAGGCGGGUCUCUGGGCAUUUCCUGACGCUGAGGCGCGAAAGCGUGGGGAGCAAACGGG